rnacentral:rRNA from 1 species
UACGAAGGGGGCUAGCGUUGCUCGGAAUUACUGGGCGUAAAGCGUGCGCAGGCGGUUUGGUAAGACAGAUGUGAAAUCCCCGGGCUCAACCUGGGAAUUGCAUUUGUGACUGCCCAGCUAGAGUGUGUCAGAGGGGGGUAGAAUUCCACGUGUAGCAGUGAAAUGCGUAGAUAUGUGGAGGAAUACCGAUGGCGAAGGCAGCCCCCUGGGAUAACACUGACGCUCAUGCACGAAAGCGUGGGGAGCAAACAGG